UUCCCAAUCCACCCAUGCCU
rnacentral:miRNA from 1 species